rnacentral:rRNA from 1 species
CCUACGGGUGGCAGCAGUGGGGGAUAUUGCACAAUGGGGGGAACCCUGAUGCAGCGACGCCGCGUGGGUGAAGGAGCGUUUCGGCUCGUAAAGCCCUAUCGGCAGGGAAGAAGAUGACGGUAACUGGCCAAAAAGCCCCCGCUAAAUACGGGCCAGCAGCCGCGGUAAUACGUAGGGGGCAAGCGUUAUCCGGAUUUACUGGGUGGAAGGGGGGCGCAGGCGGGAAUGCAAGCCAGGAGUGAAAGCCCGGGGCUCAACCCCGGGACUGCUCUUGGAACUGCAUGGCUGGAGUUCAGGAGGGGCAGGCGGAAUUCCCAGUGUAGCGGUGAAAUGCGUAGAUAUUAGGAGGAACACCAGUGGCGAAGGCGGCCUGCUGGACUGUAACUGACGCUGAGGCGCGAAGGCGUGGGGAGCAAACAGGAUUAGAUACCCGAGUAGUC